rnacentral:rRNA from 1 species
GUCAAAUCAUCAUGCCCUUUAUGCCCUGGGCUACACACGUAAUACAAUGGCGCAAUAACAGAGGGAAGCAAUACCGCGAGGUGGAGCAAAUCCCCAAAAGGCGUCUCAGUUCGGAUUGCAGGCUGCAACCCGCCUGCAUGAAGUCGGAAUUGCUAGUAAUCGCGGAUCAGCAUGCCGCGGUGAAUACGUUCCCGGGUCUU